rnacentral:rRNA from 1 species
AUUCCGGUUGAUCCUGCCGGAGGCCAUUGCUAUCGGAGUCCGAUUUAGCCAUGCUAGUCGCACGGGUUUAGACCCGUGGCAGAUAGCUCAGUAACACGUGGCCAAACUACCCUAUGGACCGGAAUAACCUCGGGAAACUGAGGCCAAUCCCGGAUACAGCUCUCCUGCUGGAGUGCGGAGAGUUGGAAACGCUCCGGCGCCAUAGGAUGUGGCUGCGGCCGAUUAGGUAGACGGUGGGGUAACGGCCCACCGUGCCGAUAAUCGGUACGGGUCGUGAGAGCGAGCGCCCGGAGACGGUAUCUGAGACAAGAUACCGGGCCCUACGGGGCGCAGCAGGCGCGAAACCUUUACACUGCACGACAGUGCGAUAAGGGGACUCCGAGUGCGAGGGCAUAUAGUC